rnacentral:tRNA from 1 species
GGCUCCAUAGUGCAGUGGAUAGCAUGUCUGUUUUACACACAGAAGGUCUUGGGUUUGUGCUCCAGGUGGAGCUA